GCGCUUGUGAGCGAGCAUUUAGGCGCAGAAAGCGUGGAAGCCUUUUCGCGGGAUAACGGUUGGAAACGCCGUAUACCGCAUACGCCCUACGGGGGAAAGGUCCGCCGGAAAAGAGGGGCCCGCGUCUGAUUAGCUGGUUGGUAGGGUAAUGGCCUACCAAGGCACGAUCAGUAGCGGUGAAGGAUGAUCAGCCACACUGGGUGAACACGGCCCAACUCCUACGGAGGAGCGGGGGAAUAUUGACAAUGGGGGCAACCCUGAUCCCAAUGCCGCGUGUGGAGAAGGCCUUAGGGUUGUAAAGCAUUUCACUGGGAAAUGAUGACGGUAACCAGAAAAAGCCCCGGUAACUUCGUGCCAGCAGCCGCGGUAAUACGAGGGGGCGAGCGUUGUUCGGAAUUACUGGGCGUAAAGGGCGCGUAGCGGUCUUUUAAGUUAGGCGUGAAAGCCCCGGGCUCAACCUGGGAACUGCGCUUAAUACUGAAGACUAGAAAACGGAAGAGGGUAGUGGAAUUCCCAGGUAGAGGUGAAAUUCGUAAUAUUGGGAAGAACACGUGGCGAAAGCGGCUACCUGGUCCGAUUUUGACGCUGAGGCGCGAAAGCGUGGGGAGCAAACAGGAUUAGAACCCUGGUAGUCCACGCCGUAAACGAUGUCUGCUAGAUGUCGGGGGGUUGCCCUCGGUGUCGCCGCUAACGCAUUAGAACCGCUGGAAUACGGUCGAAUUAAAACUCAAAGGAAUUGACGGGGGCCCGCACAAGGGUGGAGCAUGUGUUAUUCGAAGACGCGAAACUACAGUCUUGAUGGGAGUUUGGUUCCGGAACGGAUUCCUUCAUUCGGCUGGUCCCACACAGGGUGCAUGGCUGCGUACUCGGGAAUGAUCGCUCCCGCAACAGCCACCAUCUUAGUCUCCGUUCGGGCCUCAAAAAUGCCUGAAAGAAAGAGGGGUACACUCUGUUGGUGUCCCACGGCCUACAAGAUGGGGGACCGUACAU
rnacentral:rRNA from 1 species